AGGCAAUUAAUAUCAUUCUGUCAGUUAUUCACAUUUCUGUUCCUCUCCAUUGCUUGUUUCGAACUAAUAAUUAUAUUUGUUUAGUUACAACAAAAAAUUCUGGUUAAGAUUUUCUUAAGCUGUUAGUUAGCAUGCCUAAAUCAAAUCAUCAAUGCAUAAAACCUGGCCAACUAGUGUUUUCUCAUUUUUAAUGUGAGGGAGAAAUUGAAAUGUUGAUAUAAUCUCAAGAAAAAUUAACAUGAAAAGAAACUACAAAAACCAUUCAAGGAUUAGGACCUCCUUUUUCUCUUAAUUUUUAAUAGGGCAAAGGAUCACAACACGUUAAGCACAGAAGAAAUGAAAUUUUUUCUGGAAAUGAAAUUUUUU
rnacentral:misc_RNA from 1 species